UAGUGCUUAGAUUAUACACCUAUAGAUGUAACCACUAAAAUGACUUUCCUUGAAAGAGCGAGAUCGUUAAUUGUCAAACCCAUGCAAAGAAACAGGACAGAAUAUAUAGUUUUUGUCUUUGUCGACAUGGCCGGUUUUAUUGUUUGGCAAGAUCUGAGUUGUGACAAACAAACUUGGCGUCUUUUGGAUUUUUCUGUGAUUGUGUGAAUUUACAGUGUUUAUUGCGUAUAAAAAUUGGAUAAUACAGAAUAUUUAGUGUACGUGCGAUGGUGGGUUGCAGUGUUUUGGGUUGUAAAAGCCGGAGUGAGCGAAAAAUUGAAGGAAUAACAUUUCACACGUUUCCAUCCAAUAUUGAUAAGAGAAAUGGCUGGAUGCCACUGGACGAGAAAAUUGGCUGCCAACAAAAUAUUCAAAAAUUUGUUCCAUUCAUUUUGAUGAUGAUUCAUUACUGUAUAAAAAUAAACAAGUACAAUUAAAACCUCACUCAAGCCUGCCAAGCUGUACUUAUUUCAUUAUGUAUAUAGUAAUAAAUAAUAAACAUGUUUAUGUUA